UUUGCCAAGGAGCACACUACAAUGCAUCCUGCACAGUAGUUAAGGAUAUCAAUGACAGGAAAAAGAAACUCGGCAAAAGAUGUUACAUUUGCUUCAAGGAAGGACAUAGAACAACAACAUGUCACAAUAGGAAGCCAUGUUACUUCUGCAAAGGAAAUCAUAAUCAAGCUUUAUGUCCACAAAAGCCAGACGGCAAUAGUGGAGGUGGGGCAGAAGAACUCAAACAGAACUAAGACAAGGAGGCUGAUGCUUGACAAUGGCAGUGGUCGCAGCUAUAUUACCAGGAAGCUUGCAAAAGAACUUGACUUAGUGGCAGAUCAGGAAGAUGAAUUAAUGGUAUUUGUCUUCGGUGCUGAUGACCCAGUUAACAUUUCCAGCCCAUCAGCUGACAUCCAAAUCAUAACAAGAAGAGGUAUCAGAAGAGAUAUUCGAGUGAACAUUGUGCGCCGUAUAGCAAAUUAUCUUGGUCCUCCUAUGAGUAUGGAUGGAAUUGAUGGAGUAGAUGUUGUAGCUGAUGAUGGGUCUGCUAGAGAAGAACCACAACUUUUGAUAGGUGGUGACUAUUGUUAUUCAUUUUACAGAAAGGAAAUGUUAUUGCUGAAGGAGCACUUAUAUUUAAUUAACACAGAUUUUGGCUGGAUGAUUGCCGGCAAGGUCCAACAAGAAGAGAAAAACAAUACACUAUCUGUCAUCAUGUACUGCCAAUGCCAAGGAUCAGUAAUACCCUAUUUUGUAACACCAGACUUACCUCUCCGGGAACCGGACAUCAGGUUUCUAUGGGCCUUAGAAAGUAUUGGGAUUGUAGACUCUCCUAAGAUAACUAGAGAGGAAGAGGCGAUCAAACACUUUAACGAAACGGUCAAAUAUGAAGAUAAGAGAUAUCAGGUGAAGUGGCCCUGGAUAACAUACCCACCUGACUUACCCACUAACUAUGGUCUUGCUUAUGGGAGACUGUCAAGCUUAAUUCGAAGAUUAGAACAAGAUGCCAUGGAAGAGUAUGAUAGCAUUCUGAGAGAACAACUAACUGCAGGGGUUAUAGAAGUUAUAGAUCCCUCAGAAAUUGUUUCUAAGACACAUCCUGUUCACUAUCUUGCCCAUCAUAUUAUUCUUCCGAAAGGAAAGAAGGGGCGUGUUGUGUAUGAUGGUUCGGCUAAACUUAAGAAUAGUAAGAGCCUCAAUGAAUGCAUGUACAGAGGACCUUCGAUGCUUGAAGACUUGACCGCUCUCCUUUUGAGAUUCAGAGUCAACAAGAUUGGAAUUACAGCAGAUGUAGAAAAGGCCUUUCUUCAGGUAGGACUACAACAGGAGGAUAGAGAUGUGACCAGGUUUUUAUGGCUUAAGGACCCCAAACAAGGAGUGACUGAGAAGAACCUUCUCCAUCUGCGCUUCUGUCGUGUCCCAUUUGGGGUAAUAUCCAGUCCAUUUUUGUUGACGGCUACGAUUCGACAUCAUUUGUCACAGGGUGACCAGAACCUUAUGUCAGAAAUAGCAGAAAGAACCUACGUGGACAACUUAGUCACAGGAACAGACACGUUAGAGGAAGCUCGUGAACUUGUAAACAAGACUAGGGCGACGUUCACAGAAUUGUCAAUGAAUAUAAGAGAAUGGACAUCCAACAACAAACUAUUGUUGAAGAGCAUUCCAAAACAGUUUCGAUCAAAAGACACUGAAUCGACAAAGGUAUUAGGACUUACCUGGCACAUGGGAAAGGAUACCCUGAAACUAAGGUUGGGUGAUGUGCUAUCUGAUACAAAGCAAGACAAGACAACUACAACAAAACGAGGGAUAUUGCGAACUCUUGCUUCAUUAUAUGAUCCUUGCGGAUUCGCGGCACCCUUAAUUUUGCCUGCAAAACUCCUUCUUCAAGAACUAUGGAGAAGGAAAGAAAAAUGGGAUUCUCAAUUGCCAGAGGACUUAAAGGAAGAAUGGCAGAAGGCAGUAAGUGCUUUACAGACUGCCGAUGAAAUAGAAAUACCCAGAUAUGUUGGCCUGUCACCAAAUGAAGACACAGAAUGUGAACUUCAUUGUUUCACUGACGCAUCUAAAAGAGCCUACUCAGCUGUAGUAUAUCUGAGGAUAGUGAAUAAGGAAGAUAAGAGCACUAAAGUCAGGCUCAUAAUGGCUAAAUCCCGGGUUACCCCGAUAAACCACACGGAAGACCUCAAAAUCCCAAAAUUGGAAUUACUUGGAUUCGUCAUAGGGAAGCGACUCUUAACUUAUGUAAAGAACACCCUUAGAAUAGACUUGAAGCGACUAUGCCUUUGGUCCGACAGUGAAAUAGUUUUAUACUGGAUGAAAUCGGAAAAGUUGUUGCCUCCAUUCGUUUGCAGAAGAAUAAACGAAAUUAAACAGAAUAAAGACAUAGAACCUAGAUAUGUCAAUACAGAAUUGAACCCUGCAGAUCUAGCAACACGACCGGAACUUUGGCAUACGAAGAAGGAAUUGUGGUUCAAUGGACCUCAAUUUCUUUCGCUGAGUGAGGAGGGCUGGCCAAAGUUGCAAGAACAUGGCCAGUCAGUUCUUUUUGCAGGAACCGAUUCAAUAAUAGAUACCAUGGAGACGGACAUGUCAUCUCAAGCAGAAGAAUCAGUCAGAGGAAGCAUAGAACAGGAAAAUACAGAAGGAAUGACGAUAGAUAUAGAGAAUAUAGAAGACAAUGGCCAGAUGCAAGUUUCGGCCACCGGAGUUGAUUUUAACUGCACAGAGAUAAAGAAUUUACAAAAAUUACACUUCCCACAAGAGGCAGCAGGCAAGAAAACGAGCCUAUCUAGGAAUUUAGGACUAUUUGUGGAUAUGGAUGGAUUAUUAAGAUGUAAAGGUCGGCUUAUGAACACAAUGUGUUCAUAUGACACCAAAUAUCCGAUAUUGAUACCUAAGAACUCGGAAUUUACAGACAGACUGAUUUUGGAGACUCAUCAGAGAUACUAUCAUGUGGGAACCCCACAUACACUGAGCAUUAUUCGCCAGAAAUACUGGAUUCCUCAAGGAAGAGCGAAGGUUCAGCGAAUCAUAAGAAAAUGCCAACAGUGUGUUAAACAUGGAGGUGGUCCUUACAAACUUCCCCCCACACCAGCACUGCCAGCAGAACGUGCUAAUUAUAGUGCUCCUUUCACAUACACUGGCAUCGACUAUUUUGGGCCAAUCCUUGUUACGGAGAACGGACAGAUGAGAAAAAGAUGGAUUUGUCUGUAUACUUGUCUGGCUGUACGCGCAAUUCACAUGGAAGUAGUUAAGGAUUUAACUGCGGAGGAAUGUUUACUUGCAAUGAGAAGAUUCAUAUCUACCAGAGGAAGACCAGAACUCAUCAUCUCAGACAAUGCAUUACAGUUUAAAUUAACUGCAGAAUUAUUGUCAAACACAUACUUCAUGGACAAUAAAAUAAGGUGGAAGUUUAUCCCUCAGCUCAGUCCAUGGCAUGGAGGUUUUUAUGAAAGGCUGGUCGGCAUCGUGAAGAAUUGCAUGAAGAGAACCUUAGAAAAGAGAAUUCUAAAUGACUCACAGCUGAGUACAGUUGUCAAAGAAAUCGAAGCUGUGGCUAAUUCACGUCCACUUACUUGUGUUGGUUCAGACAUAGAAUAUGUUUUAAGGCCGGCAGACUUUCUCACCUACGGGAAAUGUAUAGCGAUUGAGCCUUCUAUACAAAAUCCGUAUCCAGGUGGUUCCGUCACAAAAGAAAAUCUAAUAGAAGGAUGGAAGAAGGGUCAAAUUAUACUAGAAGAAUUUAAAAGAAUGUUUCUGGGACAGUACUUAUGCAGUCUACGUGAAAGGUACCAACAUUCACACAAGGAACCCCGAGUUAAAACUCAUCAAAGCCCUCAUAUUGGUGACAUAGUCCAGAUUAAGGGAGACUCGAAAAACAGAGAGAACUGGAAGGUAGGAAAAAUCAUCAGUUUGGAACGAGGCGCCGAUGGAGAAUGCAGAGUUGCAAAGGUCAAUGUUGAAGGAAAAGAAUUUAUAAGAUCAAUAGGUCACUUAUAUCCAUUAGAAGUGGAAGAGGCUAGACUGGAAGUUGCACGAACACAAGAAAGAAUUCAAGUAAAUCCAGAUGUACGGGAGACAGAGGAAUCUUCACUACAUGGAAUCACAGAGAUAUCUGACAUAGAAACCAGAUAUCCUGAAAGGGAAUCAAUAGAACAGGUGCCACCAGAAAUUGCAGUAGAGGAUGAUGUUAUAUUGGAGACCAAUGGUUUAGACAAAAUACUCACUCCCGAAGAACGGGUGCAUGAAAAUGGUAUUGGUGAGCAUAGUAAAGCGGUGACUGAAGGUGACGAAGACGUAGGGAGAGUAGAAACUGUGUCAAAUGUCAAUAACGAAAGAAGUAGAAGAGCAGCGGCUGUCCGGGCGAGAGAAAAGAUUGCCCAAUGGACGAGCCAGCUGAUAGCCCUGCUUUAAAAACUCACGGCCGUUGGGGAGUGUCGCGUCGAACGCGAACCUCAACAAAAUAGCAGUAGGAGGUAGAAGACUUUUUCCCAACGGAACAAUGUUCGCGUGGGCGGGAAGUAAGUUGUGAAGAAAGAAAGAAGACCUGCGGGUUUUAAAUGGUGAGUGUUAGAAAUAU